rnacentral:rRNA from 1 species
GACAGAGGUGCCGAGCGUUAGGCGGAAUCACUGGGCUUAAAGCGUGUGUAGGCGGGCGGGCAAGUACCUUGUGAAAUCCCACGGCUCAACCGUGGAACUGCUGGGUAUACUGCCUGUCUUGAGCCAGCCAGGGGCAGUCGGACAGACGGUGGAGCGGUGAAAUGCGUAGAUAUCGUCUGGAACGCCAAAGGUGAAAACAGACUGCUGGGGCUGUGCUGACGCUGAGACACGAAAGCCAGGGGAGCGAACAGG